rnacentral:lncRNA from 10 species
AGGGUAACUAAGGAAGUGGAUGCUACAUCUAAAGAGGCCAAAUCCUUCUUCAAGCAGAAUGAGAAAGAAAAACCACAGGCUAAUGUUCCUUCAGCUCUGCCAUCACUCCCUGCCGGGUCAGGAUGUGUCAUUUAAAAAACUGUUAUGACCUGCUGAAUUGAUUUCACAAUCAACUGCAACCUGAAUUUGACAAAAUACUGCUCUAGACAACGUAUGGAAUUAGCCUUCAGCAGGUGAUUAAGAGUUGCCAGGUUUGUAUGUGGUAUUAUUAGUGUUUCUUGCACUUAUUGAAAGUAUUGCUAUGAAGUUACCUCUGGAUAUAACCACCAGAUGGAAAUAAAGGCAAAGA